rnacentral:rRNA from 1 species
GAUGAACGCUGGCGGCGUGCCUAAUACAUGCAAGUCGAGCGAACAGACGAGGAGCUUGCUCCUCUGACGUUAGCGGCGGACGGGUGAGUAACACGUGUAUAACCUACCUAUAAGACUGGGAUAACUUCGGGAAACCGGAGCUAAUACCGGAUAAUAUAUUGCACCGCAUGGUUCAAUAGUGAAAGACGGUUUUGCUGUCACUUAUAGAUGGAUCUGCGCCGCAUUAGCUAGUUGGUAAGGUAACGGCUUACCACGGCAACGAUGCGUAGCCGAGCUGAGAGGGUGAUCGGCCACCCGAGAACGGAGACACGGUCCAGACUCCUACGGGAGGCAGCAGUAGGGAAUCGUCCGCAGUGGGCGAAAGCCUGACGGAGCAACGCCGCGUGAGUGAUGAAGGUCUUCGGAUCGUAAAACUCUGUUAUUAGGGGAGAACAAAUGUGUAAGUAGCUAUGCACGUCUUGACGGUACCUAAUCAGAAAGCCACGGCUAACUACGUG